UGGGGAAACCCAGCAUGAGUUAUGUCAUGUUAUCGAUAUGUGAAUACAUAGCAUAUCAGAAGGCACACCCGGAGAACUGAAACAUCUUAGUACCCGGAGGAAGAGAAAGAAAAUUCGAUUCCCUUAGUAGCGGCGAGCGAAACGGGAAGAGCCCAAACCAACAAGCUUGCUUGUUGGGGUUGUAGGACACUCUAUACGGAGUUACAAAGGACGACAUUAGACGAAUCAUCUGGAAAGAUGAAUCAAAGAAGGUAAUAAUCCUGUAGUCGAAAAUGUUGUCUCUCUUGAGUGGAUCCUGAGUACGACGGAGCACGUGAAAUUCCGUCGGAAUCUGGGAGGACCAUCUCCUAAGGCUAAAUACUCUCUAGUGACCGAUAGUGAACCAGUACCGUGAGGGAAAGGUGAAAAG
rnacentral:rRNA from 1 species